rnacentral:rRNA from 1 species
GCUUACGGCCAUACCGCUCUGAUCAAGCCCGAUCUCGUCUGAUCUCGGAAGCUAAACAAAGCCGGGCAUGGUUAGUACUUGAAUGGGAGACUGUCUGGGAAUACCUUGUGCUGUAAGUU